rnacentral:rRNA from 1 species
ACUGGCUAAUACCGCAUGAGAUCGAGAGAUGAAAGCAGGGGACCCGCAAGGGCCUUGCGCGAGAGGAGCGGCCGAUGCCCGAUUAGCUAGUUGGCGGGGUAAAAGCCCACCAAGGCGACGAUCGGUAGCUGGUCUGAGAGGACGACCAGCCACACUGGAACUGAGACACGGUCCAGACUCCUACGGGAGGCAGCAGUGGGGAAUAUUGGACAAUGGGCGCAAGCCUGAUCCAGCCAUGCCGCGUGUGUGAAGAAGGUCUUCGGAUUGUAAAGCACUUUAAGUUGGGAGGAAGGGCAGUAAGUUAAUACCUUGCUGUUUUGACGUUACCAACAGAAUAAGCACCGGCUAACUUCGUGCCAGCAGCCGCGGUAAUACGAAGGGUGCAAGCGUUAAUCGGAAUUACUGGGCGU